UUAAGCGACUAAGCGUACACGGUGGAUGCCCUGGCAGUCAGAGGCGAUGAAGGACGUGCUAAUCUGCGAUAAGCGCCGGUAAGGUGAUAUGAACCGUUAUAACCGGCGAUUUCCGAAUGGGGAAACCCAGUGUGAUUCGUCACACUAUCAUUAACUGAAUCCAUAGGUUAAUGAGGCGAACCGGGGGAACUGAAACAUCUAAGUACCCCGAGGAAAAGAAAUCAACCGAGAUUCCCCCAGUAGCGGCGAGCGAACGGGGAGGAGCCCAGAGCCUGAAUCAGCAUGUGUGUUAGUGGAAGCGUCUGGAAAGGCGCGCGAUACAGGGUGACAGCCCCGUACACAAAAGCGCAUGUGCUGUGAGCUCGAUGAGUAGGGCGGGACACGUGGUAUCCUGUCUGAAUAUGGGGGGACCAUCCUCCAAGGCUAAAUACUCCUGACUGACCGAUAGUGAACCAGUACCGUGAGGGAAAGGCGAAAAGAACCCCGGCGAGGGGAGUGAAAAAGAACCUGAAACCGUGUACGUACAAGCAGUGGGAGCCCCACCACCAAAGCAUUCUCUGGUGUUGAAGGCCCUGCAAAGCAGCAUCGCGGUGGCGGAGCGUCGUUUGCGACGCCCAACACACAAAACAAGCGGUGAAUGCUUUGGGGUGGGGUGACUGCGUACCUUUUGUAUAAUGGGUCAGCGACUUAUAUUCUGUAGCAAGGUUAACCGAAUAGGGGAGCCGGAGGGAAACCGAGUCUUAAUUGGGCGUUAAGUUGCAGGGUAUAGACCCGAAACCCGGUGAUCUAGCCAUGGGCAGGUUGAAGGUUGGGUAACACUAACUGGAGGACCGAACCGACUAAUGUUGAAAAAUUAGCGGAUGACCUGUGGCUGGGGGUGAAAGGCCAAUCAAACCGGGAGAUAGCUGGUUCUCCCCGAAAGCUAUUUAGGUAGCGCCUCGUGAAUUCAUCUCCGGGGGUAGAGCACUGUUUCGGCUAGGGGGCCAUCCCGGCUUACCAACCCGAUGCAAACUGCGAAUACCGGAGAAUGUUAUCACGGGAGACACACGGCGGGUGCUAACGUCCGUCGUGAAGAGGGAAACAACCCAGACCGCCAGCUAAGGUCCCAAAGUCAUGGUUAAGUGGGAAACGAUGUGGGAAGGCCCAGACAGCCAGGAUGUUGGCUUAGAAGCAGCCAUCAUUUAAAGAAAGCGUAAUAGCUCACUGGUCGAGUCGGCCUGCGCGGAAGAUGUAACGGGGCUAAACCAUGCACCGAAGCUGCGGCAGCGACGCUGAUGCGUUGUUGGGUAGGGGAGCGUUCUGUAAGCCUGCGAAGGUGACCUGUGAGGGUUGCUGGAGGUAUCAGAAGUGCGAAUGCUGACAUAAGUAACGAUAAAGCGGGUGAAAAGCCCGCUCGCCGGAAGACCAAGGGUUCCUGUCCAACGUUAAUCGGGGCAGGGUGAGUCGACCCCUAAGGCGAGGCCGAAAGGCGUAGUCGAUGGGAAACGGGUUAAUAUUCCCGUACUUGGUGUUACUGCGAAGGGGGGACGGAGAAGGCUAUGUUGGCCGGGCGACGGUUGUCCCGGUUUAAGCGUGUAGGUGUGUGUUCCAGGUAAAUCCGGUUCACUUUAACACUGAGGCGUGAUGACGAGGCACUACGGUGCUGAAGCAACAAAUGCCCUGCUUCCAGGAAAAGCCUCUAAGCAUCAGGUAACAUCAAAUCGUACCCCAAACCGACACAGGUGGUCAGGUAGAGAAUACCAAGGCGCUUGAGAGAACUCGGGUGAAGGAACUAGGCAAAAUGGUGCCGUAACUUCGGGAGAAGGCACGCUGACACGUAGGUGAAGUGAUUUACUCACGGAGCUGAAGUCAGUCGAAGAUACCAGCUGGCUGCAACUGUUUAUUAAAAACACAGCACUGUGCAAACACGAAAGUGGACGUAUACGGUGUGACGCCUGCCCGGUGCCGGAAGGUUAAUUGAUGGGGUCAGCGCAAGCGAAGCUCCUGAUCGAAGCCCCGGUAAACGGCGGCCGUAACUAUAACGGUCCUAAGGUAGCGAAAUUCCUUGUCGGGUAAGUUCCGACCUGCACGAAUGGCGUAAUGAUGGCCAGGCUGUCUCCACCCGAGACUCAGUGAAAUUGAACUCGCUGUGAAGAUGCAGUGUACCCGCGGCAAGACGGAAAGACCCCGUGAACCUUUACUAUAGCUUGACACUGAACAUUGAGCCUUGAUGUGUAGGAUAGGUGGGAGGCUUUGAAGUGUGGACGCCAGUCUGCAUGGAGCCGACCUUGAAAUACCACCCUUUAAUGUUUGAUGUUCUAACGUGGACCCGUAAUCCGGGUUGCGGACAGUGUCUGGUGGGUAGUUUGACUGGGGCGGUCUCCUCCUAAAGAGUAACGGAGGAGCACGAAGGUUGGCUAAUCCUGGUCGGACAUCAGGAGGUUAGUGCAAUGGCAUAAGCCAGCUUGACUGCGAGCGUGACGGCGCGAGCAGGUGCGAAAGCAGGUCAUAGUGAUCCGGUGGUUCUGAAUGGAAGGGCCAUCGCUCAACGGAUAAAAGGUACUCCGGGGAUAACAGGCUGAUACCGCCCAAGAGUUCAUAUCGACGGCGGUGUUUGGCACCUCGAUGUCGGCUCAUCACAUCCUGGGGCUGAAGUAGGUCCCAAGGGUAUGGCUGUUCGCCAUUUAAAGUGGUACGCGAGCUGGGUUUAGAACGUCGUGAGACAGUUCGGUCCCUAUCUGCCGUGGGCGCUGGAGAACUGAGGGGGGCUGCUCCUAGUACGAGAGGACCGGAGUGGACGCAUCACUGGUGUUCGGGUUGUCAUGCCAAUGGCACUGCCCGGUAGCUAAAUGCGGAAGAGAUAAGUGCUGAAAGCAUCUAAGCACGAAACUUGCCCCGAGAUGAGUUCUCCCUGAGACUUUAGGUCUCCUGAAGGAACGUUGAAGACGACGACGUUGAUAGGCCGGGUGUGUAAGCGCAGCGAUGCGUUGAGCUAACCGGUACUAAUGAACCGUGAGGCUUAACCUU
rnacentral:rRNA from 2 species